rnacentral:rRNA from 1 species
AGUGAACGCUGGCGGCAGGCCUAACACAUGCAAGUCGAACGGCAGCACAGUAAGAGCUUGCUCUUACGGGUGGCGAGUGGCGGACGGGUGAGGAAUACAUCGGAAUCUACUUUUUCGUGGGGGAUAACGUAGGGAAACUUACGCUACUACCGCAUACGACCUACGGGUGAAAGCAGUGGUUCUUCGCACCUUGCGCGAUUGAAUGAGCCGAUGUCGGAUUAGCUAGUUGGCGGGGUAAAGGCCCACCAAGGCGACGAUCCGUAGCUGGUCUGAGAGGAUGAUCAGCCACACUGGAACUGAGACACGGUCCAGACUCCUACGGGAGGCAGCAGUGGGGAAUAUUGGACAAUGGGCGCAAGCCUGAUCCAGCCAUACCGCGUGGGUGAAGAAGGCCUUCGGGUUGUAAAGCCCUUUUGUUGGGAAAGAAAAGCAGCAGGUUAAUACCCCGCUGUUCUGACGGUACCCAAAGAAUAAGCACCGGCUAACUUCGUG